AUACUGGAAAAAUUUUAAUUACAUAUGUGAGUCAUAUUACAUUUCUGUUAGACAGUGCUUCUCUAGAACAAGGGUCAACAAACUACCUGUUUUUGUAUGACCUGUGAGCUUAAGGAUUUUUUUUACAUCUUUAAGGAAUUAUAUGUGGCACACACAUCUCUUUACAGAAAACGUAUGUUGACUCCUGCUCCAAAAUGGCCCACAGAAUUGCUCAUUUUGCUUUGAGACAUCCGGUGACAAGGGAGGC
rnacentral:lncRNA from 1 species